AGCCUGGGUGACAGAGUGAGACCGUCUCAAAAAAAAAAAGAUAUUUUUACUGGAGUAAAAAUUGAUAUUUCUAAGGAGGUUAAGAGUUCUAAAAAGUUUGCAUUUCUAAAUAUUUAAAACUCUGCCCAAGAAAUUUAGACUAAUAACACUUUUCAUAAAAAAAAAAAAGAUUUGCUGAGCAAAGUAAAUUUCUCAUGUAUUGUGGAAUGUCUCAAGUAUAGAGAUUUAUUGUCCUAGUAGCUCACAACUUAGUUAACAGAUUUUUUUUGUCUGAAGUUUAUUGUUGGAAGUAUCAUCUUCCUCCCUUAAGGAGAGUACAUUUAGUGGGGGAGGAAAUUAUCAGUACAUUUGUUGUGGCUUUUGGUUGAUCAAGUUUGAAUGUUUUCAAAACAGGAAAUCCAGAGACUCUGCAAGGAUUCCUGCCUGUGCGUUAGUUUCCUAGGCUGUUUUUCAGCUUGAUGUAUGUACUUGAUAUUAAAAUUAAAUGAGUAAUUUCAGAAGUUCUCUUUAGAUGUGAUAACCCAUCAUUAGUGAGGGAAAAAGAUUGGCUACUAAUAAACAUGUUGGGAAAGAUAAAUGAAGUAACCAUGCCAAAAAAAAGUCAAACUGUAACAAAGGCAUAAUUAAGAAAGCAAAACAUUCAUUGUAGCUAGUCUUCUCAGAGAGACAAUAAAUGACAGAACUAGUGUCUGAUGCUGUAAUAGGACAGUAAACAUUUGUGAUAGCUCUUAUAAAUAUUUUCUACUUUACAUGUGGACUAAUCUUUUUUUUCCUGGUAAAUCUAACCCUUCACAAUUGGACCCUGCAGUACUAUAAAAUCUUAAACGGAUAUACAUCCAGACAUAUACACCCCAGUUUAUAUAAAAAACCAAAACCAUCGCCUUGUAAUACUGACAACAUUCGGAAUGUCAGAGUAAAAGGAGGUAUCACAGCCUCAUGGUGAAUACAGCCCAUUGAUUCUCUACAUCUACAAGUAGCAAAGGGCAUUGCUGGGUUAACUGGUUUCUAAACUUGGAACACUGAUGUGAAAAGUUCUACGAGACUGCUGACAAGAACUCACACACCACUUGGAGCCACGGAAAGACUGCUGAUUGCCACAGUAGGGGCCCUGAUUGCAGUAACAGAUGCAGAUGAGCCUAGCUCCUAUAGCUCCACUUAUUCUUUUUAAUGUUAUCUUAAAAAUUCCUACCAAAACAAAACAGAACAAAAACCAUGGCAGCUCUGGCUGUGGAAGCCCUGUGGUUGCUUUUUGACCUGGCAUCUUUUAGUGCAAAUACUAACUUAAUAAAUAUUUAAUAAUAACCAUCGUGACUCACUGGGAGUGCAGCCUGUAGGGCUCAGGAGGUCUGUUGCUAAUCCCAACCAGCAUGAUUUACGGGAAGUAAAUCAUCUAUGACAUGCCCAAAGAGAAUAAAAGUACAUACAGGAUGCUUCUACUUAGGGCUUUUUUGGUAGAGAAAGAAAUAAACAAGUUAAAAAGAGACAACAUUUUUUUCUUGACUUAAAGACUAUGUAACUUAAAGGGGGAGGGAGGUCCUCCAAAUCCCCACAAAGUCAAACCAAACCAAAUUACCCAAGCUUAGCUGCGCAAUCGGAGUGUAACCACAUCAAGCGAGCUGCAAAACAUCACUUAAACUGGAGCUCUGACUUAUUGUUCUCUUACUGCCCUAGAGCAAUUUUGUUUUGAAGAGCACAGAACACCCUGUUCUGAAUGUGGCUGGCACAUGAACUCGAUGUGCUGACAGCAAUUUGUACUCCGAUUAAAAUAGGGGGGAAAAAAGGAAAGAGAGUGCACAGCAGUAACAAAAAUGAAAUGCAAGAACCCCUAAACCAUGCAAUUUGUAUUUUAGGAAGCAAAACUGAGAAAGAGGCUCCAUAACUUAAAAAACAAAAAACAAAAAGCUGUAAAUGCUCCAGCCUAAAGACAUUAGCUCUGGAUGGGAGCAAUGAGUAUGCUGUGGAGAAUGAGAGCAUUUUCUCACUUCUGGAGAAUGGAGUUUCAAAUGAGCAAAGGGCAAAUAAACUUGUGGUGUUGGAUUGGAACUGGAACUGCAACUGCCAAAUCUUGCUGUUGUCCAGGCUGAAGCACAAUGGCAC
rnacentral:lncRNA from 1 species